rnacentral:rRNA from 1 species
CCUACGGGGGGCAGCAGUGGGGAAUAUUGCACAAUGGGCGCAAGCCUGAUGCAGCCAUGCCGCGUGUGUGAAGAAGGCCUUCGGGUUGUAAAGCACUUUCAGCGGGGAGGAAGGCGGUGAGGUUAAUAACCUCAUCGAUUGACGUUACCCGCAGAAGAAGCACCGGCUAACUCCGUGCCAGCAGCCGCGGUAAUACGGAGGGUGCAAGCGUUAAUCGGAAUUACUGGGCGUAAAGCGCACGCAGGCGGUCUGUCAAGUCGGAUGUGAAAUCCCCGGGCUCAACCUGGGAACUGCAUUCGAAACUGGCAGGCUAGAGUCUUGAAGAGGGGGGUAGAAUUCCAGGUGUAGCGGUGAAAUGCGUAGAGAUCUGGAGGAAUACCGGGGGCGAAGGCGGCCCCCUGGACAAAGACUGACGCUCAGGUGCGAAAGCGUGGGGAGCAAACAGGAUUAGAUACCCGAGUAGUC